UUGCAUGGCUGUCGUCAGCUCGUGUCGUGAGAUGUUCGGUUAAGUCCGCUAACGAGCGCAACCCUCGCUGUAUGUUACAUGUGUCAUACAGGACCGCCGGUAUCAAGCCGGAGGAAGGUGGGGAUGACGUCAAGUCCGCAUGGCCUUUAUGUCCGGGGCUACACACACGCUACAAUGGUUGGUACAAUGGGUUGCUAAGCCGCGAGGUGGAGCCAAUCCCCCAAAGCCGGCCUCAGUUCAGAUUGCAGGCUGCAACUCGCCUGCAUGAAGCUGGAGUUGCUAGUAAACGCGCGUCAGCUAUAGUGCGUUGAAUACGUUCUCGGGCCUU
rnacentral:rRNA from 1 species